AAUGGGCGCAAGCCUGAUGCAGCCAUGCCGCGUGUAUGAAGAAGGCCUUCGGGUUGUAAAGUACUUUCAGCGGGGAGGAAGGGGUUAAGGUUAAUAACCUUAGCCAUUGACGUUACCCGCAGAAGAAGCACCGGCUAACUCCGUGCCAGCAGCCGCGGUAAUACGGAGGGUGCAAGCGUUAAUCGGAAUUACUGGGCGUAAAGCGCACGCAGGCGGUUGAUUGCAUCAGAUGUGAAAUCCCCGGGCUUAACCCGGGAAUUGCAUUUGAGACUGGUCAGCUAGAGUCUGGUAGAGGGGGGUAGAAUUCCAUGUGUAGCGGUGAAAUGCGUAGAGAUGUGGAGGAAUACCGGUGGCGAAGGCGGCCCCCUGGACAAAGACUGACGCUCAGGUGCGAAAGCGUGGGGAGCAAA
rnacentral:rRNA from 1 species